UACAGAGGGUGCAAGCGUUGUUCGGAAUUAUUGGGCGUAAAGCGCGUGUAGGCGGCUUUGCAAGUCGGGUGUGAAAGCCCUCAGCUCAACUGAGGAAGGGCGCCCGAAACUGCCGAGCUUGAGUGCCGGAGAGGAUGGCGGAAUUCCCCAAGUAGAGGUGAAAUUCGUAGAGAUCGGGAGGAACACCAGUGGCGAAGGCGCCUAUCUGGCUGACAACUGACGCUGAGACUCGAAAGCAUGGGGAGCAAACAGG
rnacentral:rRNA from 1 species